AUGAUUCACUAAACUUUCUUUUCUGCUACUUGUGAAAAUAAGAUGGUAUUUUUUCUGUUUUGCUUUACAGUGGAGGUACAAUUGCUGGUCUGUCGCUGGGAUCAUGGUUGGGUACUUUCAAGGCAAAAGUUCAUGCGUUCUCUGUUUGUGAUGACCCUGAUUACUUUUACAACUUUGUUCAAUCACUAAUUGAUGGACUCGGAGCAGGUGUUAACUCACAUGAGAUUGUAAACAUU